UACGGAGGGUGCGAGCGUUGUCCGGAAUCACUGGGCGUAAAGGGCGCGUAGGCGGCCUGAUAAGUAGGGGGUGAAAUCCUGCGGCUUAACCGCAGGGCUGCCUUCUAAACUGUCAGGCUAGAGCACAGUAGAGGCAGGUGGAAUUCCCGGUGUAGCGGUGGAAUGCGUAGAGAUCGGGAGGAACACCGGUGGCGAAGGCGGGUCUCUGGGCAUCUCCUGACGCUGAGGCACGAAAGCUAGGGGAGCAAACAGG
rnacentral:rRNA from 1 species